CAGCUGCUCCACCUGAGGAGAGGCAGGGGAGGCCGGUGAGAGAGGGAAGGAAGGAAGGGGGCGCUGAGGGGGAAGGAAGCCAGCCCGCCCGAGGGGACUCCUGCCUUCGGAGGGCAGGUUGCAGCGCAGGCGUCUCGGCGAGGGCACGGGGAGGAGGAGCGCCGGGGGCGGAGCGCCUUGCGCCCUCCGCUCUGCGCUUCCCUCGGCGCCCUCGAAGAUGUUGCCUCCCCCCGUGGGACAAGCUCCGACGACGGCUACUUACUUUCUCUUGAAGUCCGACGCGACGUCCAGCUUGGCAGCCUCCACCCCGAAGAAGGAGACGGAGCCCAGUUAACGAGCGAGGAAAAGCGCAGACCUGAUAGCGAAGAUAAUCCACUGAAGUCCGGCUGUGCGCACACUGGAUCCUUGCUUGACGGUAGCAGCAAGCCUGCCUCUUGAGCAGCGAGCGAAGGGGCUCUUCAGGCAAGGUAAGACUUGCGGCAGAGGAGUGCAGCGUACCUUUAGCGAGAAUUGGGAGCAACUUGGAUAAAGUAAAUGGCAGCCAACGAUAAGCACUUUACUCUUUUUAAAAAAAUGCAUUUGCAUUCUGAUACUUCAAUAUAUCUUGUACAUAUGAAGCUGCAUAAUACUGAGUCAGCCUGUGAAGGCUGUAAUCCUGUACCAAUUUUCCUGGGAGCAAGUUCCAUUGAGCCCAGUGGGACUUAACUUCUGGCUAGACCUGCAUAGUAUCGGUGUGGGGUGUUGUUUCUUUCGUGUAAGUAUAUGUACCGGUAUGCUUUUGUGUUACAGUACAGUGGUACCUUGGGUUAAGUACUUAAUUCGUUUCAGAGGUCCGUUCUUAACCUGAAACUGUUCUUAACCUGAAGCACCAC